rnacentral:ncRNA from 1 species
UUGGUCCCGGCCUUAUAGUCAAUUCUCACUUAACCUACACAUGCAAGUAUCCGCACCCCUGUGAAAACGCCCAUAAAUCCUAAUGGAUACAAGGAGCGGGUAUCAGGCACAACUAUUGCCCAAGACACCUAGCCAUGCCACACCCACAAGGGAAUCCAGCAGUGACUAAUAUUGAACAUUAACGACAGCUUGAUUCAGUCAAAGUGAACAGAGCCGGCAAAUCCGGUGCCAGCCGCCGCGGUUACACCGGGGGCUCAAAUUGACCUCCACCGACGUAAAGCGUGAUUAAAGAUACAGUAAACUAGAGCUAAACCCAGAUUGAAUCGUCAAAUAUUUAUCUGACAGAAAUGCAUGACGAAAGUCGCUCUAUCUAACCCAACUUGAACACACGAAAGCAGGAACACAAACUGGGAUUAGAUACCCCACUAUGCCUGACCGUAAACUUUAACUUACAUCUCUAUCGUCAGGGAAUUACGAGCAAAGCUUAAAACCCAAAGGACUUGACGGUGCCCCAUAUCCCCCUAGAGGAGCCUGUCCUAUAAUCGAUAAUCCCCGUUUAACCUCACCACACCUAGCUUAUCAGCCUGUAUACUUCCGUCGCAAGCCUACCACAUGAGCGAAGCUUAGUUAGCCCAAUGUCCGCGCAUAACAUGCUAUCGACAAUACGUCAGGUCAAAGUGCAGCAAACGCUGUGGGAUGAGAUUGGCUACACUUUUUAAUCUAAAAGAAACGGAAAACACAACAACAAUGAAACUUUGUUAGAAGGCGGAUUUAGCAGUAAAAGAAAAUCACAAAAUUUCUUUAAACUCGGCACUGGGGUGUGUACACACCGCCCGUCACCCUCUUCGAAAAAAUUAAAUCUAGUACUUAACCCCCCAUCAAAAAUGAAGAAGAGGCAAGUCGUAACAUGGUAAGCGUACCGGAAGGUGUGCUUGGAAA